ensembl:misc_RNA predicted gene, 27587
ACAAGCUAAGAGAUACAAAGGGAAAAGUGUGACUGCUCUGACAGCAAAAACAAGCAAAUAUCUCCAGAGGGGAUUAAUCCCUUUGCUUCAAAGUAACCAAAACAAAGAAAGCUGAGCCAGCUUUGGAACAACACCUGUCUAUCAGACAAGAAUGAGCUAAU